UUCUUAUGUCUGCCAUUACCACAGUUUGCCCCGCUUCGAUUUCAAUUGGGAAUUUAUAAGUCACCAUUUAGACUACAUCUUUGAUUUUUACAGUUAUCGUGUUCGCCGUCUUUCUCUAAAAACCCUAGCUACUCCUGCCCAAUUUUAUUUCCCUUGCUCUCUUUUACACAACCCUCUCGAUUCUAAAUCCUCCUUUCGACAACCCGCAAUCAACCAGAGAUUAUUGGACUGCAAGCUGUUGGGAGAGACAAAAAGAGGGCGAGAGUUGUAGGGUUCGAUGGCCGGUGGCUCUGAUGCGGCGGAAGCAACUACCUUAUCCUGUGUUCAAUGCGGGAAGCCUGUGCAUCUUCAGUGCCCAAAGUGCAUGGAAUUAAAGCUUCCUCAAGAAGGUGCCGCUUUUAGGAUCUGCUCUUGUGCAUUGAGAAAAGAAAUUCAGGGAGACAUUGGCAAAGAUUGAUCUAGGAAGUGUCUCUCAAUAAUUGAUAAUAUGUUGUCUUUCUUUUGUGUUAGUUCAUGUCAUACGCAGCAAGUUUAAGGUGUUUGAUCAAAGCUCCAAUGUUGUGUUUGUACAGGUUCCCUUCAAUAUUAGAGAGAGAGAGAGAGAGAGAGAGAGAUCAGUUUAUGAUUAAGAGGGAGUAUUUGUCUUUCGCUGCUAUUGGUAUUGGUCUAAGAUUUGAGUAGUUUGAUGAUAUAAUUUGGCUUUUUUGUUGUUCUUUUUAUGAAGAUCUUAUUUUCUGUUGAGCCUGCAGUUUAAAUUCGCUCCAAUGUUGUAUAUGUCCAUGUCCUGGUAUCUUUUGUUAUGAUCGAGGAGUUUGUGAUGUCCUUUGGUAUUUCUGCAAUUGUUGGUCUGAGAUUCAAUUGUGCUGGAACUUUAUUUUUAUUUUUGUGUUUAGUUGGUUCAUAGUAUGAAACAUUGUUCUUUACAAAUGGUAAGGGGUUAUUUUCCAUCUGGUAUUGAGUAUAUGGUUGAUCAAGGGAUUCUUGGAUCUUAAUUUGUAACUUGUGAUUUUAUGCAUCCUUGAUAGAUGUAGAUUCUGAGUACUGGUCACAAAUUUUCAGGAUUCUGUCGGACUGGUCUCAAAUUUUGAGGAUUUUGUCAGCAAGGGAGUGUUAGGGAGACAGACCAGCAAAGAGUGAUUUGGAGCCCCUUUUUUUUUUUAGUCUUCUUCUUCUUCUUCCUCCCUUUUUUUUUUGUGUAUAUAGUCAGCUAGCGUAAAUCCCUGUUUUUUAAGGCAAAUGGAAUUGAAUCUAAGUUGGUAUGUGCAUUUGUUUUCAGGUGGUCAAGUGUUUUAAUGUGAGCAGCAUUGUGGACUAAGAGUCUGGGAGAUACUAAGAUCUUGGUGUUCCUUUUCUUUUUUGGCUUCAAUGUUUUUGAGUAAUUAAACUUGUGGAGGGAAUGUGAUAAAAUUUAUGAUUUUGCUCUAAAAAUAUAUGCAAGUGUUAAAAAUAACGAGAAACUGAAUAUGAAUUUAAUCUGUGUGUUUUUCAGGGUCUUAUCCUUGUUUGAGAAA